CCUACGGGUGGCAGCAGUGAGGAAUAUUGGUCAAUGGACGAGAGUCUGAACCAGCCAAGUAGCGUGAAGGAUGACUGCCCUAUGGGUUGUAAACUUCUUUUAUAUGGGACUAAAAUGUUCCACGUGUGGGAUUUUGUAUGUACCAUAUGAAUAAGUAUUGGCUAACUCCGUGCCAGCAGCCGCGGUAAUACGGAGGAUCCGAGCGUUAUCCGGAUUUAUUGGGUUUAAAGGGAGCGUAGGUGGAUUGUUAAGUCAGUUGUGAAAGUUUGCGGCUCAACCGUAAAAUUGCAGUUGAAACUGGCAGUCUUGAGUACAGUAGAGGUGGGCGGAAUUCGUGGUGUAGCGGUGAAAUGCUUAGAUAUCACGAAGAACUCCGAUUGCGAAGGCAGUUCACUGGACUGCAACUGACACUGAGGCUCGAAAGUGUGGGUAUCAAACAGGAUUAGAUACCCCAGUAGUC
rnacentral:rRNA from 1 species